UGAAUACGAGACGCUAAGGCGUCGAAGUAGUGUAUGUCAUACUUCCAAGAAAAGCUUGCACUGUCAUAGAUAAAAAACGCCUGUACCAUAACCGACACAGGUGGGUAGGUAGAGUAUACUAAGGGGCGCGAGAUAACUCUUUCUAAGGAACUCGGCAAAAUAACUCCGUAACUUCGGGAGAAGGAGUGCCUUAUUCGUAAGGUUGCAAUAACAAGAUCCAAGCAACUGUUUAUCAAAAACACAGGUCUCCGCUAAGUCGUAAGACGAUGUAUGGGGGCUGACGCCUGCCCAGUGCCAGAAGGUUAAAGAAGUUGGUUAGCAAUUGCGAAGCUGAUAACUGAAGCCCUGGUAACGGCGGCCGUAACUAUAACGGUCCUAAGGUAGCGAAAUUCCUUGUCGGGUAAGUUCCGACCCGCACGAAAGGCGUAAUGAUUUGGAUACUGUCUCGGAGAGGGGCUCGGUGAAAUAGACUUGUCUGUGAAGAUGCGGACUACCUGCACCAGGACAGAAAGACCCUAUGAAGCUUUACUGUAACUUGAAAUUGAAAUUGGACUUUAUUCGCGCAGUAUAGGUGGGAGGCGUUGAUUAUAAUCUUGUAGGGAUUAUUGGAGCCAUCAGUGAGAUACCACUCUUGUAAUGUUAGAUUUCUAACUUUGAAUCAUUAUCUGGUCAAAGAACAGUUUCAGGCGGGCAGUUUGACUGGGGCGGUCGCCUCCUAAACGGUAACGGAGGCGUACAAAGGUUUCCUCUGAACGGUUAGAAAUCGUAUCUAGAGUGUAAAGGCAUAAGGAAGCUUGACUGUGAGACCUACAAGUCGAGCAGGGACGAAAGUCGGUCUUAGUGAUCUGACGGUACUGAGUGGAAAGGCCGUCACUCAACGGAUAAAAGUUACUCUAGGAUAACAGGCUGAUCUCCCCCAAGAGUUCACAUCGACGGGGAGGUUUGGCACCUCGAUGUCGGCUCAUCGCAUCCUGGGGCGGUAGUACGUCCCAAGGGUUGGGCUGUUCGCCCAUGAAAGCGGUACGCGAGCUGGGUUCAGAACGUCGUGAGACAGUUCGGUCCAUAUCCGGUGUAGGCGUUAGAAUAUUGAGAGGAGCCUUCUUUAGUACGAGAGGACCGAGAAGGACAUACCUCUGGUGUACCAGUUAUCGUGCCAACGGUAAACGCUGGGUAGCUAUGUAUGGAGUGGAUAACCGCUGAAAGCAUCUAAGUGGGAAGCCCACCUCAAGAUAAG
rnacentral:rRNA from 1 species